rnacentral:lncRNA from 1 species
GUCAGAGGUCAGAGGCUGUACAGUAACACGCUAUACAUGAGGUCAGAGGCUGUACAGUAACACGCUAUACAUGAGGUCAGAGGUCAGAGGCUGUACAGUAACACGCUAUACAUGAGGUCAGAGGUCAGAGGCUGUACAGUAACAUGCUAUACAUGAGGUCAGAGACUGUACAGUAACAUGCUAUACAUGAGGUCAGAGGCUGUACAGUAACACGCUAUACAUGAGGUCAGAGGUCAGAGGCUGUACAGUAACAUGCUAUACAUGAGGUCAGAGGCUGUACAGUAACAUGCUAUACAUGAGGUCAGAGGUCAGAGGCUGUACAGUAACACGCUAUACAUGAGGUCAGAGGUCAGAGGCUGUACAGUAACAUGCUAUACAUGAGGUCAGAGGCUGUACAGUAACAUGCUAUACAUGAGGUCAGAGGUCAGAGGCUGUACAGUAACAUGCUAUACAUGAG